GUGCCAGCAGCCGAGGUAAUACGUAGGGGGCAAGCGUUAUCCGGAUUCACUGGGUUUAAAGGGUGCGUAGGUGGGCAGGUAAGUCAGUGGUGAAAUCUCUGGGCUUAACCCGGAAACUGCCAUUGAUACUAUUUGUCUUGAAUAUCGUGGAGGUCAGCGGAAUAUGUCAUGUAGCGGUGAAAUGCUCAGAUAUGACAUAGAACACCAAUUGCGAAGGCAGCUGGCUACACGAAUAUUGACACUGAUGCACGAAAGCGUGGGGAUCAAACAGGAUUAGAAACCCUUGUAGUCC
rnacentral:rRNA from 1 species